CUUUUAACAAAUCCAUUUUGCAGAAAGUAAGCAUCAAUUUUGCUGUUCCGCGCUCUCAGCGCUUGUUUUAAACCGUAAAGAGCCUUGUGUAACUUAUAGACUUUUCCUUCCUUUCCUUCAACUUCAAAACCUUGUGGCUACUUCACAUAAACUUCUUCUUCUAGUUCUCCAUUCAAAAAGGCUGAUUUGACAUCAAGUUGAAAAACUUGUAAUUCC
rnacentral:lncRNA from 1 species